rnacentral:rRNA from 1 species
UUUGCGCUACGCUCCCGUCGACUCUAUCUCUAUCCUCUCCCCAUUCUUUGACUUCGCUGGCUCCAAAACGGGGGUUUAGGGGGGUGGGGGGAGUGCGCGUGGAGCGGCGGCGGCUGGGGAGGGGGAGGGAGGGGGGAGGUGGUUGGGGGCAGCGUCGGCGUCGCGUCGCGUCGUGGCGUCAGCGGGCAGCGGGGGCUACCGCUGGCGGCGGCCGGAGCACUCGCCCGACAGCCGCUUCCUGCUCUAAUCCCUCCACCUCUACCUCUAGUACUUGGGCGGCCUCCUCCGCCGCCUCGCCCGGCCCGACUUCUCCCGGACCCCGAUGCGCUUGCGGCCGUCAAGAGUACCAAAAUAACCUCACUGAUGACGACUUUUCCUCGGUUGUGAGGACGGAGUAUUGUUACAGUUUAUAGACUUCUUUCGACCGUCACCGUUAGAAGAUGCAGGCCUAUACGGUCUAUGAUUACGAACCUCUAAAUCAUCGAGUAGAGGACCACCUCUAGACCCCUCGUUUUGGUCUUGGGGAUGCCCAUGGAAAUUACGAGUUCCGGUCACGUUCUUUCCUUUCUUAACGUGAAGAGGAGUACUUUCUCUCCCAAGACCAAAACCAUUGGACACCUCAGUUCUUCUUUUACGACCAAGUGAGUGUAGUCAACCAAUACCCUUUGUAUCUCCGAGACUUCUUCCUAAACUUCGUGUUACACAUAGGUUGAACUUACUAGACGUGUUGAUACCCGCUAUAUCCUGGGAGUAAGUAAGAAUACCGCGUCUAGUAUCCCCCGACCGAGUAUUGAGCGGGUUGGAUUUAUAAAGUCUCCUCUCCAGAACGUCUUGACUAUUAAAGACCUGAUGUUUCGGAUGGGGAGGACAUUUACUCGACCACGUCUAGAGUCAAGUUCCCUUUUUGGUGUUUGGAUCAGAGUACCCUGUGGUAUAAUCAAACGGGAGACUAUCGAUGAACCUACCGUCCCUUUGGAAUUCAUCUAACGUAAAUCUACCUCGUUUCGACAACGGCCUAGACUUACACCGAUUUCGUUCGUCGGAUUCACUAAGAGUACAGAGACUAAUAACCGUAGCUGGUAAAAUGAGUAGACAAAGUAAACUGAUAGGGGUCAUACCACUCUUCGCUAGACGAAUACCACCUGGUUGUCUUUUAGAAGGAGUGUUUGUAGUCUUUCUUGUAUCAAGUUCGAAACGGAGUAUGUCGAGUUUGUCAUAUUGUCCCAAGUCUUCAGGUCCGGUGUUAUCGAGACAAGUAAGGAACCCAUCGGUUGGAAGAGCUCCUUAAUGAGUGGAUCCUUACUGCAGGGAAGUAGUCAAUUGUGGACCAUAGCUCUUUAAACCAGAGGUAUUUCUACAUAUAAAACUGUUCCCGACACCAUGUAGAUCCGGACCCAAUGCACGUUCGUCAAGUACAGUCGGACUCGUGGAAAGGGGUUAGUUCCUACUGGGAACCCAUUGAAGUCACGGAAAACAUGGAGAACAACUCAAAGGGUUGUCAUGUAGUGGAAGUUUAUCAGGUAUACUGGGUGAACGACUGUCAUACUUGGGAGGGUUUCAACUCUCACCGUUAUAAGAGUUCAGGAGGUUGUAUAGGACGUCGUAAAGUUCAGUCGUGUGACGACCCUUACCACAAUAUCUACCUCUGUAGUUGUUUAGUAACUAAAUACUAUUCAACCGUUCCUUAUACAGCCGUUUUCCCAGUUUACUCAAACGUCCGAACCAACGUGGACCAUUCCUUGCGAGAUCAGACCUACCGCUAUGAAACCACUUUCGAAAACUUUCUUGGUUUCUAAUAAAGGCAUAAGUAAACCGUCUUGUACACUUCCUCAACGACUUUGGAUAAACCUUCCUUCCGUUUGACUCAUUUCUACGAGUAUUUGACUAUCAUUUUUUUAGACAACUGUUUCAAGAACGAUGUCAACUGGACGUAGUUCAUGGUCGAUGAUUUCUUAACUAUUGACUAAUAUAUUGGUACAGACCUUGUUUCUAACUUUUCGAACACUUCCGUAUACAACUAUCCGUACCAUGUUCUACUCUAGGUCUGAAGAUUUACGACUCGAGGUAGUGGUAUCUAUACCCGAAAGUCGUUUGUGGAAAGGCUACACUAAUUAGACGUCAGGUUACAACGAUCCGGACUAGACGUCAGGUUACAACGAUCCGGACUAGACGUCAUCGGUUGGACUUCACUUCACCUAAAUCCCUUCGUAAGUUAAAACGUAGAAAUUCCAACGGUCUAUAAUUUCAGCAGAAACUCGGAUAAUAUAGGAGUAAAAUAGUAGUGACUAGUUUGACUACUCUCGACGGUCUUGUACGUUUACCUUUGUUUGUCAGCGGAGUAAGUGGAAGAGUCUAAAAAAUACCGGACAUGACGAAUUAAGGAACCGGGUAAGACGACUUUUCCAAGACAAAGACCUGCCUUACCGCAAGGUCUAACCUUACGAUUAUGAUUUCUCACAGGUACAGGACUGAGCAGGUACUUCACCAAACUGGAUUGGAGACGGGAGUUUACGGAUACGAGUGGGUUCGACAUCUAGUGUUUAUGGAACGACCAGUCCGACGCGAGACGAAGGGUACCCUUGACUACGAAUUGAGUCGGGACGAGCCGCCCCGUCGACCGACGGGUAGAGGUAGCGGGCGGAGUACGAAUGAGACAGACGGAGUAGGAGGCACAAUGUAAGAAGGAGGUUGUCGUUCCACACCAAACCGAAAGCCAAGACAAAACGGCCGCUCUUACCACUUCCGAAACCAAUUGUAAAUUCUAGUCGUAAUUUUGUCCGAAGAUGACACGUCGGACACAAUAUAGUGAUUUAUUUACCUUAAAUUAAAGUUACGGUGAUCAACUGAGACUUUGAUAUUUACAUAAUUUCUUUUACCUCAGUGUUUACGUUGGUUGUGUUGGGAGAUGUGAAUGUAGGGUCCGAUGUGUCGGGGAUGUCAUUCUACGUUGUUUGUCUCUCGGUUUGAUUGUUAGAAUUGGUUUGUCCAAGGUUGUGUUCUUCAUUUCCGUCCUGUUUGUCCAGGCAGAUAAUCAUACAGAAGGCAAAAACGAUACGACUACAUAACUGGUCGGACCUGAUAUAACCAAGCCUUUGGUGGAGUAAUUGUGUAUAACUGGGUCGAACAUGAUCAGUGACCUCGUGUACGGGGGUGGUGUGUCGGGAGAGUUAACACACGAGAUGAGUGGAGGUCUAACUUAGGGGAAGAGGUUUUAGGGAACGGUUCAAGUCACUCAGUCCACUCCGACGUCGUGUUCGAAGGAACCAUCCCUGCACCGUACACAUUAACUCGCCCUGACUACCGACCGAGACCCUUACCUUGGUCUGCCACUACACCCACGCACUCACCCCUGUUACCGACCGAUUCACGUACCUUGGUCCAGUUCACUCCCCGGAUCCAGAACCUCCGAGCGAGAUUUAUAUGUUAGGAACGAGUACCGGACUUCAUACGGAUCUACGACUACCCACAUAACAUAGGACGAACACAAUCGAAUACCUAAGAUAUAUAUAUAUCGUAUUAACGUAAUUUGGACUACCUGAUACCUAAGUAUUUUGGAACAAUAAUACGAAUGAUUUGACACGUAACAUCUAUGAGGUCAACAUCGUUUGGAGUCUUAUAGUCAUGUAAUACCGAGUUCUUAAAAUGUCAUAACGACAUACUUGACUGAUGUAAUCGAGGUCCCAACAUUACGUAUUUAAAUAUUGUUAAGACGCGGUCUAAGCUCGUACUUUUAGAAGAGUCCCAUCGAUCGAUAGAAAAGGCAUGGGAGACAAAAUCGCAGUCCAUUAUGUUUAAGGAGAGACGGGAAAACGAGAAACAUCUCUCGAUGGUUUGCCAUAAAUUCCGAAAAAUGGAUAAAAGUAGAGUUGGGUCCGACAAAACUGGUCGGCCAUCGUAGUGACGUACCGUUCUUUCUCUUUGCUCAAACCACUUACCGUAAGGAUCACUGUAACAGUAUUUAUUUAGAUGAACAUGAUUAUUUUCGUACUCAAACCACUUAGGUUUACUAGACUCGGUAGGUUGGUGGAUAUAGGUUGCAGAGUGCGAUGAGGUUACUACAUAGAUAGUGUAGUAGUUAUUAAACCUUUUCUGUAAUUAACGUAAUUUGUGUUAAUUAUAACUUUAGUUGUAAUCAAUACCAAUGAAAACCUUUAUCAUAAUGACGGUUUGAUCUACACGCACGUGUAUGUGCUAAUCAUCAUAUAAUAUAAUGUAAGAUAAUAGCGAACAGUGUCUUGAUCAAUAGUUGUACGCGACGUACAUAAUUAUAUGUGCUAAUCGACGAUAAUUAUAUGGCCGAUUAUAGUUGUACGCGACGUACAUACGUAAAUCAUCAACAGUAUUUAUAAGGUAUUUAUUUUACAUACGUACACACCCCGAAUUCUGGGGUCAUGUUGGUGGCUUUUGUGUUUCGAGUUCCGACAUAUUUUAAUUGUUCCAUCCCAGAAUCGAACCGAAACUGGGAGAAUUGUCCAUCCGGAUCUAGUCUAAACUCCGUGUUGGAGGUCCUCUAGGAACCACCCCGUUAAGGAAGGUCUGAGAACACUAAUACAAGGAACGUAGGUCUUAAAUUGGUGUCCUGGUAUUAAAUUAACGAAUGUCCCGACGAUUAGUAUAAAGUAAUAGACUACUUCCAUGAUUGAUUUCUUGGAAAACCAUCAUACAGUCGAUAGUUUAUACACUCCGUAUAUAUUUACGAACGAGUAGACGUUGUACAGAAUACGUCAGGGCCCCACGAUUACUCCUACUGUUACAAAACCGAAGACGAUCAACUACGUAGCGUGGUUUGGACUUCGAGUUGUAACGAAAACAUCUCAUGGACAUGGAAAAGAGCACAAGGUUCGAAAACAUCAGAGGAAGUUUUCAACAACUACAAAGAACGAAGGACUUAGGACUACCAGACAGCAAAACGAAGGCCAAAAGAGUUAUUUCGUCCCACACCGAACAAGUUCUUUAUAUGAGGGAGGUAUUUCUUUAUAUUCUCGCAAAUUUAGUAAUGAAAUCACUAUAUUUACGAGAAUAUAAAGAAAUGUCUCCCUCAUAUACGAAUAGCUUACUUAACGAGUUAUCCGAGUGAAUCAUUAUAGGUUACGGGAACGUCCCAAAAUUUUUACCGACGUCUCGUGUCUACUUGUAGAGUAAGUAAAAGAUAACUAAGAAAUGUCGUUCGUGUCUCAUAGGCUUUCACCUUUUACGCUACUUAUAAACAUGACACAGGCCAAUCUGUUCCAAAUGCAGACUGUUUAACGACGUGAUACAACUACGUUGGAUUAUGAAUGUACUUAUUAACCAUAAAACAACCGUACGGGUACGGGAUAGUCAUAUGGUGUUAGACACAGCCGUACGAGUCAACGAGAUCAUACAUUGAUAGUACCCUGUAAACAAACGUUAGAAAGGUAGAGACCUUCGGCGAUUUCGACCGUGACUACGGACCAAGUCCUAGUUCUUUGUCUGUACGAUGACGAGGAAAACACCGGUUUGACAAGUAAUCGAGGAUUUCGAUAGCCCUAAAUCCUAUACGAGAAGACAGGACGUCUCAAAGAAACUUCAAUACGAGAACCUCAACCUGUCGAGCUCUACGAGAGACUAUUUCUUUUAGGUCCAAGUUUCUAUAGUACCUAUCAGUCUUUAGAACCUAUGUGUAAAGUCAAGUACAAAACGAAGGAAAAUAGUGUUCCAGGUCGCUACGACUGCCAUACCGUCGUGACGUGUAGUUUUCGGCAUACUAAAAACGGAGAACUGACGAGACCAGAGACCACCGUCCAGCAUCGACAAAUACUUACGAUGUGCUCGUCGGAACUCUUUCUAGAUACUCGUCCUCUUCCGGUCACAGCGUUGUCAUAAAAAAGAAAGCAAGUCAAAACAUAACACGGGUAAUACGGUUUUGACGUUUGAUACUACAUGUCAGACUCCGAAUUUGAGCAAAAAACAACAGAGACGCCCGAACAUGUGAGACCGCUGCUAGUAACUCCUCUAGUUCCAAGUCACGUUCAGGACAAAGAGUAUCUUCUCCACGUUUUGGCACGACACGUAGACAACCGAGUCAGUCCGAGAUGAAGAGAGACAACUAGUUGGGUAUAUGACCAACAAGGUCAUGUUCAGCGCCUCGCACGUUGCCGGCUAUAACAGUAGCAACGAAGCGUUAUUUCGAAACGAAAUGCAACUUUUCUUUUUUCCCAACCCUUCAACGAACCAGACUGUAGAGUCAAACCUCAAAAAAAAAACGCCCCAUCAAACCUCAACAUUAUCAUUUAAUUUU